AUUGCUUCUCGGCCUUUUGGCUAAGAUCAAGUGUAGAUGUUCAUAAGUGAGUAAAUUAGCCCACAUUAAAAUUAUUUUUCUAAAAGUUUCU
rnacentral:snRNA from 1 species